rnacentral:rRNA from 1 species
GCAUAUCAAUAAGCGGAGGAAAAGAAACCAACAGGGAUUGCCUCAGUAACGGCGAGUGAAGCGGCAACAGCUCAAAUUUGAAAUCUGGCCCUAGGCCCGAGUUGUAAUUUGCAGAGGAUGCUUUUGGUGCGGUGCCUUCCAAGUUCCCUAGAACGGGACGCCAGAGAGGGUGAGAGCCCCGUACAGUUGGACACCAAGCCUUUGUAAAGCUCCUUCGACGAGUCGAGUAGUUUGGGAAUGCUGCUCAAAAUGGGAGGUAUAUUUCUUCUAAAGCUAAAUACCGGCCAGAGACCGAUAGCGCACAAGUAGAGUGAUCGAAAGAUGAAAAGCACUUUGAAAAGAGGGUUAAACAGCACGUGAAAUUGUUAAAAGGGAAGCGCUUGUGACCAGACUUGCGUCCGGUGAAUCACCCAGCUCUCGCGGCUGGGGCACUUCGCCGGCUCAGGCCAGCAUCAGCUCGCUGUCGGGGACAAAAGCUUCAGGAACGUAGCUCUCUUCGGGGAGUGUUAUAGCCUGUUGCACAAUACCCUUCGGCGGGCUGAGGUACGCGCUCCGCAAGGAUGCUGGCAUAAUGGUCAUCAGCGACCCGUCUUGAAACACGGACCAAGGAGUCAACCUUAUGUGCGAGUGUUCGGGUGUCAAACCCCUACGCGUAAUGAAAGUGAACGCAGGUGAGAGCUUCGGCGCAUCAUCGACCGAUCCUGAUGUUCUCGGAUGGAUUUGAGUAAGAGCAUAUAGGGUUGGACCCGAAAGAAGGUGAACUAUGCGUGUAUAGGGUGAAGCCAGAGGAAACUCUGGUGGAGGCUCGCAGCGGUUCUGACGUGCAAAUCGAUCGUCAAAUAUGCGCAUGGGGGGCGAAAGACUAAUCGAACCUUCUAGUAGCUGGUUUCCGCG